ACCUAUAAGACUGGGAUAACUUCGGGAAACCGGAGCUAAUACCGGAUAAUAUUUUGAACCGCAUGGUUCAAAAGUGAAAGACGGUCUUGCUGUCACUUAUAGAUGGAUCCGCGCUGCAUUAGCUAGUUGGUAAGGUAACGGCUUACCAAGGCAACGAUGCAUAGCCGACCUGAGAGGGUGAUCGGCCACACUGGAACUGAGACACGGUCCAGACUCCUACGGGAGGCAGCAGUAGGGAAUCUUCCGCAAUGGGNGAAAGCCUGACGGAGCAACGCCGCGUGAGUGAUGAAGGUCUUCGGAUCGUAAAACUCUGUUAUUAGGGAAGAACAUAUGUGUAAGUAACUGUGCACAUCUUGACGGUACCUAAUCAGAAAGCCACGGCUAACUACGUGCCAGCAGCCGCGGUAAUACGUAGGUGGCAAGCGUUAUCCGGAAUUAUUGGGCGUAAAGCGCGCGUAGGCGGUUUUUUAAGUCUGAUGUGAAAGCCCACGGCUCAACCGUGGAGGGUCAUUGGAAACUGGAAAACUUGAGUGCAGAAGAGGAAAGUGGAAUUCCAUGUGUAGCGGUGAAAUGCGCAGAGAUAUGGAGGAACACCAGUGGCGAAGGCGACUUUCUGGUCUGUAACUGACGCUGAUGUGCGAAAGCGUGGGGAUCAAACAGGAUUAGAUACCCUGGUAGUCCACGCCGUAAACGAUGAGUGCUAAGUGUUAGGGGGUUUCCGCCCCUUAGUGCUGCAGCUAACGCAUUAAGCACUCCGCCUGGGGAGUACGACCGCAAGGUUGAAACUCAAAGGAAUUGACGGGGACCCGCACAAGCGGUGGAGCAUGUGGUUUAAUUCGAAGCAACGCGAAGAACCUUACCAAAUCUUGACAUCCUUUGACAACUCUAGAGAUAGAGCCUUCCCCUUCGGGGGACAAAGUGACAGGUGGUGCAUGGUUGUCGUCAGCUCGUGUCGUGAGAUGUUGGGUUAAGUCCCGCAACGAGCGCAACCCUUAAGCUUAGUUGCCAUCAUUAAGUUGGGCACUCUAAGUUGACUGCCGGUGACAAACCGGAGGAAGGUGGGGAUGACGUCAAAUCAUCAUGCCCCUUAUGAUUUGGGCUACACACGUGCUACAAUGGACAAUACAAAGGGCAGCGAAACCGCGAGGUCAAGCAAAUCCCAUAAAGUUGUUCUCAGUUCGGAUUGUAGUCUGCAACUCGACUACAUGAAGCUGGAAUCGCUAGUAAUCGUAGAUCAGCAUGCUACGGUGAAUACGUUCCCGGGUCUUGUACACACCGCCCGUCACACCACGAGAGUUUG
rnacentral:rRNA from 1 species